AACGAACGCUGGCGGCAGGCCUAACACAUGCAAGUCGAGCGAGGACUUCGGUCCUAGCGGCGGACGGGUGAGUAACGCGUGGGAACGUGCCCUUUGCCUCGGAAUAGCCCUGGGAAACUGGGAGUAAUACCGGAUGAGCCCUUUGGGGGAAAGAUUUAUCGGCGAAGGAUCGGCCCGCGUUGGAUUAGGUAGUUGGUGGGGUAAUGGCCUACCAAGCCGACGAUCCAUAGCUGGUUUGAGAGGAUGAUCAGCCACACUGGGACUGAGACACGGCCCAGACUCCUACGGGAGGCAGCAGUGGGGAAUCUUAGACAAUGGGGGAAACCCUGAUCGAGCCAUGCCGCGUGAGCGAUGAAGGCCUUAGGGUUGUAAAGCUCUUUCAGCUGGGAAGAUAAUGACGGUACCAGCAGAAGAAGCCCCGGCUAACUCCGUG
rnacentral:rRNA from 1 species